UUAAUUACAUGCAAUUUUCUCAACAGAAUAUAUAUAUAUUGUAAAAUUGAUGACCUUUAGUUUUGCGUGUCAUUACCUUAAAUAUUUUAAUGUCAUGAAAUGACGAGUUUAAAUCUUCUAUCAUAUAUAAAAAUAAUUUUCUUCUUACGUGGAGGCUUCACAUUGUUUCGAGUUAUUGGGCUUAUUUGAUAUAUACGGAAGCAUGUUUAUGGGCCUAGUGGAAGGCCCAAUAUCUGUCAUGAAGCCGAAUUCGACUGUGGCGGGGAAAGUCCGCCAUUUCCGAACAAUUAGUCGCCGUCGACUAAGCGGCCCGGCGAUCUCCAUUUCCUUGGCUUUACCAGCUUCCCGGCUCCAACAUAUCAGUCAGGAGAAUCACGUCUGAAGAAGAUACGGAAGAAUCGUCGUCUUUUGAGUUCGUGAUUCUCAAUCGAUCUCUGAGCUCCGGUGAAGAUUCCACGGUUAGGGUUUUGGAUACGGCACUAUCUCAGACAAUUGUUUGUGCUUAAUCGUCUUCAAUCGCUCGUAAGGCACUUAUGCAUCAAAAUUGGGAACUCGAUAAUAUCUCGGAGAUCGGAGGAAGAGAAGAAUAAUGUUUUGCAGAAGCAGGUAACUGAAAUCCCAUUGCCUUGUAUUUGAUGUAUUCUAUCAAUGUUCUGUGUACAUUUGCAGUAUAUUAUUAGACGGAAUAUGGAUGUUAUCAUUCAUAUUAUCCAACAAUCUCCAGUAUAGG